rnacentral:misc_RNA from 1 species
GGACGAGACAACUCACCAGUUGUUGCGGCUCUCUCAAGUGACACUCACAAAAAGGAAAAGAUUUUAGAGGGAGAGACAGAGAGAGAGAGAGACUUUUACUUUCUAGUGAGAGAAAGAGCAAGUCUUUUGAGGGAGAGAGAUUUGCUAGUGGUACUGCUACUACCUUUCUUGUGUUUUGAUUCACCCCAUGUUGUUGUUGCUGUUAGUAUUGUCUCCUAAUAUUCUACAGAUUUCAACGACUCUUUCUGCCAUUUGUUCUUCUUCAGGUAUGAGUUAUGGUACCAUUAUUUCCUUUCUUCUCCACCUUCCCAUUUUGCCCCUCUUCCUUUCCUACCCUUCCUGCUACAUUUUGCUCCCAGAACGCCCUUUAUUUGGUUAGAUCUCCAUAUUUUCUUUAUUUUUGCUCGAAAUGUCAUCUGGGUAUGCUUUAGUUUCUCGAUUUGAGUUGCGAGGUUGGCUCUUUUUAUAUUCCUUUACUCUGUUUUAUUUUGGUCAAAGCUUAUAGAUUUUGAUGCCUUGCGUAAUAGGCGCUCCUAUUUUUUCUUUCCUUCAAUUCUAUUGAAUCCUAGAUUUUCCAUAGCAUUUAGUCUAUGAAAUAUUUACUUGUUCCCUUAGAUCUUGCUAGUGUUUUUUGUUUAUAUAUUUAUAUAGAAAUUGUGAUAUUGUUAUUCUUUGAAAUCUAGUUCUUCUGGUGAGUCAAAAUCCUAGAUCUUAGAGUGAGGUGAUCUUGGAAUGCUUGGUUCGGUGAUAUGGCUUCUUGUUCUGUGGAUGUUAGAUGCCCGAAGAAUUUAUGGUUGACCUAUAAGUGAACAAAUUUACUUUCUUUUUCAAUUCUUACUGACUUAGUUGCCAGGAGAAUGGUAGAUAUUACAAAUUUGAAAAAAUUAUUUUGGACACUGAUGUUCUUCAUGUCUAGUGAGGACUCUAGUUUGUUUAUGUUGGUGAUCUGAUGCUUUGCUGUUUUAAGCGUUUGGCUUCUGUUAUAAAUUUAGCAGCUUUUGGUUUAUUGGAUCUAUUAUUUUUUCGGUUUCUUUGCUUAAGAUGGGUUUCAAAUGACCUCACUUUUACCUCAUUUCUCUGUUUCACUGAGUUUGACAAUCCACUCACAUUUUAUUUGAAGUUUGCAUUCUUUUUCGGUUUACACCUAACAUGAUUAAGGCCCAACUUGUUUAUCCCAUUUCAUUGAAACUAGCUAGUCCUACCCACUUAAUUUUUAUCUAGCUCAUUGUAACUGUAUUGCUGCAAUAUUAUUCGCAUCAGCUUGUUUCUGUUCUUUAAGUUUUGUGGGGCAUACCAUAUUCCUUUUCUCAAUCAAAUUCUUAUGGGAAGCCUGGUUUUGGACUACCUAUUCACAUUAUUUAAUUGCUGUUUGGCAGCAAACGAUUUGUCUGGAUGCUAAGGUGUUUUCUGUUCAUAGGAGGCCUUUGACCACUGCAUCACCAUACUUAGUAGCUCUGUGGUGUAACAUCUCCUGCAGUCUUUUAAAACUGCUAGAUGGGUUCUCGGUUCCCAUCUCA